UACGUAGGGUGCAAGCGUUGUCCGGAAUUAUUGGGCGUAAAGAGCUCGUAGGCGGUCUGUCGCGUCGGCUGUGAAAACUUGGGGCUCAACCCCAAGCCUGCAGUCGAUACGGGCAGACUAGAGUGCGGUAGGGGAGACUGGAAUUCCUGGUGUAGCGGUGAAAUGCGCAGAUAUCAGGAAGAACACCCGUGGCUAAGGCGGUUCUCUAGUACGGUACUGACGCUGAGACGCGAAAGCGUGGGAGCGAACAGG
rnacentral:rRNA from 1 species